CCCCUUCCGCCGCGUUGUCUGCCAUGGUGGGGAAGGCCAAACGCCCGCGGCUCCACCGUGCUGCCCCCCGGCCAUGGCCCCCCCGGGAUCCGCCGCCGCUCCCCGAGUCCAGCCCCGGCCCGGUGCCCGGUGCGGGCGGCUGGAGCGUGGCGGGCGGCAAGGACUGGGACUUCUCAUCUUCUGGUGUCUUUUCUGGGCUGAAGAUUGAUCCAGAUACUCUAGUAAAGAAGCUUGACUUGGACUCAAGAAGCAUCAUUUCCUCCAGAACAGGUUU